rnacentral:rRNA from 1 species
UGGAGUAUGUGGUUUAAUUCGAUGCAACGCGAAGAACCUUACUACCCUUGACAUGUCCGGAACUUGCCAGAGAUGGCUUGGUGCCCGAAAGGGAAUCGGAACACAGGUGCUGCAUGGCUGUCGUCAGCUCGUGUCGUGAGAUGUUGGGUUAAGUCCCGCAACGAGCGCAACCCUUAUCAUUAGUUGCUACGCAAGGGCACUCUAAUGAGACUGCCGGUGACAAACCGGAGGAAGUGGGGAUGACGUCAAGUCCUCAUGGCCCUUAUGGGUAGGGCUUCACACGUCAUACAAUGGUCGGUACAGAGGGUUGCCAAGCCGCGAGGCGGAGCCAAUCCCACAAAGCCGAUCGUAGUCCGGAUUGUUCUCUGCAACUCGAGAGCAUGAAGUCGGAAUCGCUAGUAAUCGCAGGUCAGCAUACUGCGGUGAAUACGUUCCCGGGUCUU